GUGAAAAGAAGUCAUCCAGAACAUGUCAAAUACGUCUACAUAUGUCAAUAUACACUGGAGAUAAGUUCAAUAUAAGUUACACAUAGGUUCAAAGCAAUAAGUUUUGGAUACGCUAGACAUUAUCUCGAUGUAUUUCAACUUAUGUGGCUGGAACGGAUUAAUAGCAUUUCAAUUAAUUUCAAUG